UGAUAGUGAGAGCUAUCUCUGUUUCCGGGGCUACAACCCGGCACCUAUCUCGGCCACAC
rnacentral:tRNA from 1 species